rnacentral:rRNA from 1 species
UACGAAGGGUCCAAGCGUUAUCCGGAUUUAUUGGGUUUAAAGGGUGCGUAGGCGGAUUGCUAAGUCAGGGGUGAAAUCCUGGAGCUCAACUCCAGAACUGCCUUUGAUACUGGCGAUCUCGAGUCCGGGAGAGGUGAGUGGAACUGCGAGUGUAGAGGUGAAAUUCGUAGAUAUUCGCAAGAACACCAGUGGCGAAGGCGGCUCACUGGCCCGGUACUGACGCUGAGGUGCGAAAGCCAGGGAGGCAGAACGGG